CUUAGAUGUUCUGGGCCGCACGCGCGCUACACUGACACAGCCAGCGAGUACUCCCUUGGCCGGAAGGCCCGGGUAAUCUUGUUAAACUGUGUCGUGCUGGGGAUAGAGCAUUGCAAUUAUUGCUCUUCAACGAGGAAUCCCUAGUAAGCGCAAGUCAUCAGCUUGCGUUGAUUACGUCCCUGCCCUUUGUACACACCGCCCGUCGCUACUACCGAUUGAAUGGCUCAGUGAGGCUUUCGGACUGGCCCAGAGAGGUCGGCAACGACCACUCAGGGCCGGAAAGUUAUCCAAACUCGGUCAUUUAGAGGAAGUAAAAGUCGUAACAAGGUCUCCGUUGGUGAACCAGCGGAGGGAUCAUUAAAGAGUUGCAAAACUCCCUAAACCAUUGUGAACCUACCUUCAACCGUUGCUUCGGCGGGUUGGCACCGGGUCUCCCGGCGCCCCCGGCCCCCUCGCGGGGCGGCCCGCCGGAGGUACCUAACUCUUGAACAUUGUAUGGCCUCUCUGAGUCUUCUGUACUGAAUAAGUCAAAACUUUCAACAACGGAUCUCUUGGUUCUGGCAUCGAUGAAGAACGCAGCGAAAUGCGAUAAGUAAUGUGAAUUGCAGAAUUCAGUGAAUCAUCGAAUCUUUGAACGCACAUUGCGCCCGCCAGUAUUCUGGCGGGCAUGCCUGUUCGAGCGUCAUUUCAACCAUCAAGCCCCGGGCUUGUGUUGGGGACCUGCGGCUGCCCAGGCCCUGAAUGCAAUGGCGGGCUCCUGUCCCCCCAACGUAAUAACAUUAUCUCCUCUGGGCGUGCUGCGUGUCCGGCCGUAAACACCUUACACCCAAGUUGACCUCGGAUCAGGUAGGAAAACCCCUGAACUUAACCUAUCAUAAACGGAGGAAAAAAAACCAAAGGGAUUGCCUAUUACGCCAAGGAACGCAACCCCCCAAUUUAAAUUGGCCCCGCCCCGGUUAAUUUUUAAGAAGCUUUGGCCGCCCCUCCAA
rnacentral:rRNA from 1 species